CACAUGGAUUAAACACAGGCACAUGGAGCAUAAGCACGACAGACAGCGGAAGCAGCGCAUACGUCACACCUAUCUGUCGCAGCCCUGCACGCACUCCAGCAUGCUGAAGAGAGCGGCUCAAGUUCUGCUGUUAUUUACAAAAGGUUUCCCUCAGAUGGAGAAUGAAAACAGAGCGUGAAAGUUUCAGCGACUGUACAAAAUGCAUGAACUUUAAAUGAGCAGGAUAACAUAGUAACCAACGCCAAGGUCAUCACUGUUUCGCAGCUGGGAUGAAGGUCCUCAACAUGCAUCACUCUGAAGAGUGCUGGACUGCACGUAUACAUUUUCUUUCUCUUUAAAGCUGAUCUGUAUAAUUUUCUCGAUGUAAAAAUGAGUUAUUGUAUCCCAUCUUAAAAUGCAGAGUCAACUAUAGGUAAACCAUUUGUAGGUUGAUUUCACCCAUAAGUGUAAAGGCCGCAAUAUACUUCAUACGAAAUUGAAAAAUGAACUGGUGUGACAUCAUUUAGAACAAAAUCUGGCCAAUAAGAAGGUGUUUUUGCAUAAACACCUGCUAAACACCUUCUUACUACCAUUGGUCCAUGUCAUCAGUUGGUUUGACCUAGAACUCCACCUACCUUGACAGCGACAGCUAAUUCUGUUUACAUUGUUCAGUCAGUCAAGAUCUGUCAACAUGAACUCACCGGUGUGCAGAGUUAUUAACAAGCUGGUAUAGAUUUACUUACAUCUGUACGAUCUUUUGCUCAGAGACAUUUUCCAAGACCAUGUCAUGCGAUUUCUUUUGUUUUGUUUAAUUAGUCCACAAAAGAAGUUAAAUCUACUAUAAUACUCUUAAGUGCCCAUUCACUCAUGUGCCAUCUGCAGCGAAAGCUAUUCACACAUCUACCCAAAAUAAGAUAUGCCUCUAUCACCAUACUUUGUCUGUAUUUUGCUCAUUAACACUCAUCACAUAACACUCAACACUCAUCAUAUAACACUCAUAAAAUUUUAGACACUCAUCUUUGCAGUAGUAUCAGUGUUAUCUGCAAAUGCAAUCGGUGCAUAUAAUUGCAGCGUACAGCAUGUUAGCGCAUUAGUGUCCUGAAUUCAGAAUGUAAAUAUGACAAAUUAAAAAUGUUCUACUGCAUAUAUGUUACUUUAAAUCAUCAUCUAGUGAUUAAAACCAUAGAUAUCUAUACGUAGAUGUCUUAUUAGCAGCUAGAUACGUCUCCGCGUCCAGCAUAUUGGAACAGUCAGGAGCCGUUUGUUUACACAUGACUGUAAAUUGAUAAAUAUAGUCUGCAAAAGUCUAUUGUCUUUUCCAGCCAACUUUCAGAUUAUCUGAUUUUCCAUAAACAUUGGACAAUAUUUUAGAUGAUAUAAAAAAAUCCUGACUUCACUUCUAAAACAGGUCCCCCGCCCCCGCCCCCGCCCCCCCGUAAUAUUCUGCAAAUAAAGUCCUCUACAAAUGAAUAUAUCAUGGCAAACAUACUGAAAAUUAGCACCCAGUUAGUCAGUUAAUUACAUAAUGAACUGUUUCCACAAAAAAAGCAGUUUAUGUAGCGGUCUGAGGCUUCUUCUCCAUUCACUUACAUUUAAACAGCUCUCCUUGUUGACUGUUCCAAGAUGGUGCCACGGUUGACGUAUUCGAAACAGCCGAAUGAGGUAUCUACAUAUGUAUAUCUAUGGUUAAAACAGCUUCUUUUUCUGACCUUGUGUGAAUUCUACUCAUAGAAUGAGGCAUAAAGUCAUUGAUAACACAUUUUAAUGUCACAUUAGUUAAGGUUUUACUGCGAGUCCUCAUAUUUAAAUGCUCCUCUAAAUGCCUCCCACAGCGGUGUAGCAGGUGUCUAAAUGUUCGCAAACAGUAUACCACUGCUCAGCUGUUUAGAACUUCUUUUUACAUCUGAACGAAGAACAAAGAAGAACUUCUCCAUAAGAACUGUAUAUCAGGGCUUUAACACUGUGGCUCUGUGGUGCUAUUAAAAGCAUUUCUCUGUUUGUUUGAGCGGCACAUCCAGCCCGACACAGCAACACUGGCUCAACCAAUGGCGUAAUGACUGUUUGUACAACCAAUGAAAAAAUUUAUUUUCUGAAAUCUGUUUGAAAAUAGUAAUUUUUUUAUUUUUUAUCCCCUUUUCUCCCAAUUUGGCAUGCCCAAUUUGCACUACUAAGUAGGUCCUCAUGGAGGCACGGUUACUUACCUCAAUCCCGGUUGGCGGAGGACAAGUCUCUGAGAUUGUCAAUCCACGCAUCUUAUCACGUGGCUCGCUGUGCAUGACACCGCGGAGACUCACAGCAUGUGGAGGCUCAUGCUACUCUCCGCGAUCUACGCACAACUUACCAUGCGCCCCACUGAGAGCGAGUACCCCUAAUCGCGACCACGAAGAGGUUACCUCAUGUGACUCUACCCUCCCUAGCAACCGGGCCAAUUUGGUUGCUAAGGAGAACUGGUUGGAGUCUCUCAGCACAUUCUGGAUUCGAACUCACGACUCCAGGGGUGGUAGUCAGCGUCAAUACUUGCUGAGCUACCCAGGCCCCUGAAAACAGUAAUUUUUAAAAGUGCACAGAAAUGACACUACAGCUUUAACACUCAUUUGGAAUUUAGUAUACAUUUUAUUAAUGUUUGUAAUUAUCAUGGAGCAUUAAACAAAAUAUGUCACUGCUCAGUAAUGUGGUUGUGCAGAGACAUUUUUAACAGUUGAAAAAAUGUUGUUUAAAAUCCAUUUGGCUUUCUUUUGUUUUACAGACCACAAAAGGAGAUGUUAGGCAGGAUGCUCAUACUGCUCUUUUCCAUACAAUGAAAGUGAAUAGUGACUAUGCCCAUCAAGCUCCACAAGCCAGAUCUCAUCUGUGAUUUUUUUACAUGGUAAAUAUCAGAAAAAUAUCCAUGAAAAAAUCUAUAUUUUUGAAGAAGCCUUUACAAUCAUUAGUGCUGUUACCCUGAUACACCUACCUUUAAUUACAGAUUGUGAAAUACAACGUAAUAAAGAGUAUGCCAGCAAAUGGUAGAAAUAUAUAUUUAAUUCUACAGUUAUUUAGCAUGGGCUAUUAAGUAAUUAUAUGUAUCUUCAGAUGUCUGCUGAUGUCAUGUAAUCCUUUUAGAGCAAGUGAGCACAGUAUUUUCAUUCUGAGAGUAUAGCUGGUAUGUGUGCAGGGUAAGGCAAGUGUAUGGAAUUACAGUUCCGGGUAAUGUAGUGCCAGAGACAUUUACUGACAUGGUUCAGUUUCAGUUUACAGUUGAGCGUGCAUUAUUGGAAUGACGAAUGAAAUACAUUAGCUACAAACAAUGAAAGUCGUGACCUUGUACAUGAACUAACUUAAUAAUACAUGACAAUAUAAACAAAUCUGUUUAUCACAAAAUUGUUAUUAUAAUGUUUUUUUUUGUUUUGUUUUUUUACAUGUAUAAAUGUUAAAAAUGAAAUAUAUACAGAACAGAAUUCAGAACACUUGUUCUUGACCUAAAUUUUGAAAUAAAUGCUCUCUCUGAAAUGUGUGUGCGAAAAAGAUUGAAGUGUGUACAUGCUUGCUGUUAAAUCAACAGAAGGGAAAUUCCUUCUAAAAUGUACUCUUCCCUGCCCAUUUUAUCAAUAUUUCAUCAAUAUAUACAGAGUAUAUCAUAUAGCCACAAGAGGGAAGUAUUAAGUUAACAUUAAAUGCAUACAGCCUGCAGGAUGCUUUUGACUGAUCUUAUUUUCUCCCUGGAAGAGCAAAGAGUGGAUACUGAUUGAGUUUGUACGACAUC